GACGAACGCUGGCGGCGUGCUUAACACAUGCAAGUCGAACGGAAAGGCCCUGCUUUUGUGGGGUGCUCGAGUGGCGAACGGGUGAGUAACACGUGAGUAACCUGCCCUUGACUUUGGGAUAACUUCAGGAAACUGGGGCGAAUACCGGAUAGGAGCUCCUGCUGCAUGGGGGGGGUUGGAAAGUUUCGGCGGUUGGGGAUGGACUCGAGGGUUAUCCGCUUGUUUGUGGGGUAGUGGCUUACCAAGGCUGUGACGGGUAGCCGGCCUGAGAGGGUGGACGGCCACAUUGGGACUGAGAUACGGCCCAGACGCCUACGGGAGGCAGCAGUGGGGAAUAUUACACAAUGGGCGGAAGCCUGAUGCAGCAACGCCGCGUGCGGGAUGACGGCCUACGGGUUAUAAACCGCUUUCGCCUGUGACGAAGCGUGAGUGACGGUAAUGGGUAAAGAAGCACCGGCUAACUACGUG
rnacentral:rRNA from 1 species